rnacentral:rRNA from 1 species
GAUGAACGCUGGCGGCGUGCCUAAUACAUGCGAGUCGAGCGAACAGACGAGGAGCUUGCUCCUCUGACGAUAGCGGCGGACGGGUGAGUAACACGUGGAUAACCUACCUAUAAUACUGGGAUAACUUCGGGAAACCGGAGCUAAUACCGGAUAAUAUAUUGAACCGCAUGGUUCAAUAGUGAAAGACGGUUUUGCGGUCUCUUAUAGAUGGAUCCGCGCCGCAUUAGCUGGUAGGUAAGGUAACGGCUUAUCAAGGCGACGAUGCGUAGCCGACCUGUAGGGGUGAUCGGCCACACGGGAACUGAGCCACGGUCCAGACGCCUACGGGACGCAGCAGAAGCGAAUGUUCCGCAAUGGGCGAAAGCAUGACGGAGCAACGCCGCGUGAGUUAUGAAGGUCUUCGGAUCGUAAAACUCGGUUAUUAGGGAAGAACAAAUGUGUAAGUAACUAUGCACGUCUUGACGGUACCUAAUCAGAAAGCCACGGCUAACUACGUG